rnacentral:ncRNA from 2 species
CGUGGUUUUCGGGGCAGGGUGCGUCGGCUUGUGCUGACAAUUCCCGACCGGCGGUUAUAGUCCGCGAGUGCUUUCCGGGUUUUCCCGGCUGCGCUGAACCGGUGAAAUUCCGGUACCGACGGUACAGUCCGGAAGGGAGAAAACCGCG